rnacentral:lncRNA from 1 species
CCCCCAACCGUGGUAGGGACAUUGGAGCAGAGAAUUCUAAAAUCUGUUCACAGAUGACAGAUGGUGAUAUUGGGUAUGAAUCACUAGGUUUCACUAACUCCGGCUAAACAUUAACAGGAACAACAUCUGGAAGCUGUAAUAUGAAAAAAAAAUGCAUCAACAAGUCAUGAAUAAGCUGGCAUUUUAGCCUUUAGUGAGGAUCUCAUAGGAGACCCUUAACAGGAGACUUCUCAACAGGAGACGUGGAAGACUGAGCAAUAAUUGCAUCUUGACAAUGUUUUAUGUUCAAAUAAGCACACUUGUGUCUGCAUACCUGCCUCAUCCAAACACAAGUGUGCUAAACACACUCAGUGCAGUCCCUGAAUCGUUGCCCACACUGCAAUGGGAUCUGCCUGAUUGAAGGCAGACCCCGUUGAUGUUCCUUGCCUACCCAGUGUGAUCAUCUUCUCUGCCUUUGUCAGAUGCUAUGCUUGUGUGUAGUAGCAGAAGAGGGAGUAGGGGUACUCACAGGUUGCCCUAUGGUCGUAUCUGGCCAUCAGAAGAAGCUCAGUUGGAACUAGUGUAUAUGCUGUUGGAAAGGUCAGUGAUGCUGCCUCUUCAAAAUUAGCCCCUA